rnacentral:lncRNA from 1 species
ACCACAUAGGCACUUACCCUAGGGUGAUCUGUUUACUGGGAAGAGAGGGGACAGCCAGCCCUGUUUUGGCUUUUCAAGAAAUAGGAAAAUGCCAAAGAAACGUCAGUCUCCCAUCCAUGGCUGAUUCCCCAUUCCUCCUGCCUUCCGGCAUUAGGGGACCACCCCCGUGGUCUGCCCUCUAAGGAGAGUGCUGAGUUGGCUCUGAGGCAGC